rnacentral:rRNA from 1 species
UACAGAGGGGGCAAGCGUUGUUCGGAAUUACUGGGCGGAAAGGGCGCGUAGGCGGCCGCCUAAGUCAGACGUGAAAUCCCUCGGCUCAACCGGGGAACUGCGUCUGAUACUGGGUGGCUUGAAUCCGGGAGAGGGAUGCGGAAUUCCAGGUGUAGCGGUGAAAUGCGUAGAUAUCUGGAGGAACACCGGUGGCGAAGGCGGCAUCCUGGACCGGCAUUGACGCUGAGGCGCGAAAGCCAGGGGAGCAAACGGG